GACGAACGCUGGCGGCGUGCUUAACACAUGCAAGUCGAACGGAAAGGCCUCUUUCGGGGGGUACUCGAGUGGCGAACGGGUGAGUAACACGUGAGUAACCUGCCCUUGACUUUGGGAUAACUUCAGGAAACUGGGGCUAAUACCGGAUAGGAGCUCCUGCUGCAUGGUGGGGGUUGGAAAGUUUCGGCGGUUGGGGAUGGACUCGCGGCUUAUCAGCUUGUUGGUGGGGUAGUGGCUUACCAAGGCUUUGACGGGUAGCCGGCCUGAGAGGGUGACCGGCCUCAUUGGGACUGAGAUACGGCCCAGACUCCUACGGGAGGCAGCAGUGGGGAAUAUUGCACAAUGGGUGGAAGCCUGAUGCAGCAACGCCGUGUGCGGGAUGACGGCCUUCGGGUUGUAAACCGCUUUCGCUCAUGACGAAGCUUUGUGUGACGGUAGUGGGUAAAGAAGCACCGGCUAACUACGUG
rnacentral:rRNA from 1 species